rnacentral:rRNA from 1 species
GACGAACGCUGGCGGCGUGCUUAACACAUGCAAGUCGAACGGACAGGCCCUGCUUUUGUGGGGUGCUCGUGUGGCGAACGGGUGAGUAACACGUGAGUAACCUGCCCUUAACUUUGGGAUAACUUCAGGAAACUGGGGCUAUUACCGGAUAGGAGCUCUUGCUGCAUGGGGGGGGUUGGAAAGUUUCGGCGGUUUGGGAUAGACUCGCGGCUUAUGAGCUUGAUGGUGGGGUAGUGGCUUACAAGGGCUUUGGAGGAUAGCCGGCCUGGGAGGGGGACCGGCCACCUGGCUCCUGAGAUACGGCCCAGUCUCGUACGGUCGGCAACAGUGGGAAACAUUGCAGAAUGAGGGGAAGCCUGUUGCAACAGCGCCGCGUGCGGGAUGACGGCUUUCGGGUUAUAAACCGCUUUCGCAUUUGACGAGGCGUUAGUGACGGUAAUGGGUAAAGAAGCACCGGCUAACUACGUG